rnacentral:rRNA from 1 species
CACGUAGGGCGCAAGCGUUGUCCGGAAUUAUUGGGCGUAAAGAGCUCGUAGGCGGACUGUCACGUCCGCUGUGAAAAGCUAGGGCUUAACCCUGGCCUUGCAGUGGAUACGGGCAGACUAGAGGUAGGUAGGGGAGAAUGGAAUUCCCGGUGUAGCGGUUAAAUGCGCAGAUAUCGGGAGGAACACCGGUGGCGAAGGCGGUUCUCUGGGCCUUACCUGACGCUGAGGAGCGAAAGCGUGGGGAGCGAACAGG